GACGGAAGGUGCAAGCGUUGCUCGGAAUCACUGGGCGUAAAGGGUGCGUAGGCGGCUGUGCAAGUCUGGCGUGAAAGCCCCGGGCUCAGCCCGGGAAGUGCGCUCGAAACUGCACGGCUCGAGUGCCGGAGGGGAGAGUGGAAUUCCUGGUGUAGCGGUGAAAUGCGUAGAUAUCAGGAGGAAUACCGGUGGCGAAAGCGACUCUCUGGACGGCAACUGACGCUGAGGCACGAAAGCGUGGGGAGCGAACCGG
rnacentral:rRNA from 1 species